rnacentral:lncRNA from 1 species
UGCGCAUGUAGAUAUAUGAGAGAUUUAUUAGGCGGAUUGACUCACAUGAUUACAGUGGCUGAGAAGUCUUGCAACAGGCCGUCUACAAGCUGGAGACCCUGGGAGGCUGGUAGCAUGACUCAGGCAGAAAGCCCCAGGACCCAGGGGCCACUGGUGUAAGUCCUAGAGUCCAAAAGCUGGCAAGCCUGGAGUUCUGAUGCUCAAAGCAGCAGAAAAGUCUGUCCCAGCUCUCAGAGAGAGACCAUUUGCCUUCUGUAUUUGUUUUCUCCUGGCCCCCUGCCUAUUAGAUGAUGCCCACCAACAUUGAGGGCAGAUCUUCCCUACCUAUUCCACUCAGACCCACACACAGAUCUCCUCUAGAAACACCCUCACACAUACACACCCGACAUAAUGCUAUAUUAGGUUUCUAGAUAGCCCUUCAUCCAGUCAAGUCGAUACCUAAAAUUAAGUCCAUAAGUCCACCCCUUGUCAACUUGGCACCAAGACACAUCUCCAGAAACCAUAUCUAAUUUCCAAAUAAAGACAACAACAAGGUAAUAGUUUUGUCUAACAUAAUGCAACCAUCCCAUGAUUGUGAUUUUAGGGACUUUAGAUAUUAGAGAUUUAGACUUCAGGGAUUUUAAUCUUUUGGGACUUUAACAUUCAGGAUUAUCAUGUUUGAGAUUGUAUCUUGCAAGAUAAUGAUCCAAACUCCAGUGAAUUAACACUUCCCCUUAACUGUAUCGGAAAGGGUCUGAUUUCCCUUCCUAGCCACCAUGGUGCUGAGCACAGCAUUUUGUACACAAUAAACACUCAUACGUUUUUGAGAAAAGAGAGCGGCAGACACAGACACAGCCCUUACAGAGCUAGUGAUGGAGGAGGGCAGACCCAGGCAGCACAAUUCUUUACUGUAUUUGUCCAUUUUCACACUGCUGAUAAAGACAUACCCGAGACUGGGCAGUUUACAAAACAAAGAGGUUAUUGGGGCUGGGCCCAGUGGCUCACGCCUGUAAUCCCAGCACUUUGGGAGGCCCAGGCGGGUGGAUCACGAGGUCAGGAGUUCAAGACCGGCCUGCCCAACAUGGCAAAACCCCGUCUCUACUAAAAAUACAAAAAAUUAGCUGGGCAUGGUGGUGGCCACCUAUAAUCUCAGCUACUCAGGAGGCUGAGGCAGGAGAAUUGCUUGGACCCGGGAGGCAGAGGUUGCAGUGAGCUGAGAUCGCGCCACUGCACUCCAGCGUGGGGGACAAAAGCGAAACUCUGUCUCAAAAAAAAAAAAAUUAGAACUUUCCCCGUACUCUUGCUAGGGCUUUUCAUGGAGAUGUAGAAAUGGUAGUAAGUGCCAAGGCCCCAGAACCCUCAUGUUUGGGUCCGACUCCCACAUUGCCAGAGACUAGGCAGCUCACACAGGUGUCCCAAGCUGUCUUUCUCACAGGCCGCAUUGAAGGCAUUUAUGAAAUGAGACCCCCUCUUCCUCAUCCGUAGUGACAGGGCUGGCCUGACCGUGGAGAAAUCAGAUUUGAUCAUGAUAGCUUCCACUCCGUGACUGGUCACGAUCUGCCAGGCGCUGUGCUAAACACUUUCAUAGGCCUUGUCCCCCUCCAUCCUGAUAACACCCCAGUGAAGCAGGCCCUGCUCUUCACUCCACUCCACAAAGCCAAGGCUGAGAGAGGUUAACAGACUUACCUAAGGUCACACAGCUAAGAAGUCGUGAAGCUGGGAUCGAAUCAAGUCUGUGUUUAUGGGUUUAACUAUCAUGUUGUGGCCCCAACCCCAUUUGACCUAGCCUGGCUGGUGGGCCUUCUUGCAGUAGCUUCCCCUGGAGAAGAGGAAAAGCAAACCUUCAUUGAGACCCAAGCGGUCUCUCCUGUGCUCUGUGACAAUAAUAAAGUUCCAGCCCUUGGCUCCUGUCCUGUUUCUUUCUGGGAAUUUGGGGAAGGGGGGAGGUGGCGAAGGCAGGGAAAGAACCUGACAGGCCCAGCUG